AUUGAACGCUGGCGGCAUGCCUAACACAUGCAAGUCGAACGGCAGCACAGUAAAGAUUUCGGUCUUUAUGGGUGGCGAGUGGCGGACGGGUGAGUAAUGCGUAGGAAUCUGUCCUGGAGAGUGGGAUAACCCGAGGAAACUCGGGCUAAUACUGCAUGAUAUCGAGAGAUCAAAGGCAGGGGACCCUUCGGGGCCUUGCGCUCUAGGAUGAGCCUACGUCGGAUUGGCUAGUUGGUGGGGUAAAGGCCUACCAAGGCGACGAUCCGUAGCUCGUCUGAGAGGAUGACCAGGCACACUGGGACUGAGACACGGCCCAGACUCCUACGGGAGGCAGCAGUGGGGAAUCUUGGACAAUGGGGGAAACCCUGAUCCAGCGAUGCCGCGUGUGUGAAGAAGGCCUUCGGGUUGUAAAGCACUUUAGUUGGGGAAGAAAAGUAAUGAGUGAAUAACUGAUUGCUCUGACGGUACCCAAAGAAUAAGCACCGGCUAACUCUGUGCCAGCCGCCGCAGUAA
rnacentral:rRNA from 1 species